GUCCUUUAGAUUUAGAAUUUAAGGUCUAACCUGCCCAUUGAUUAAUUUAACGGCCGCAGUAAUUUGACUGUGCAAAGGUAGCAUAAUCAUUAGUUUUUUAAUUAAAAGCUUGUAUGAAUGGUUGGACGAGAUAAAAACUGUCUCUAAUUAAUGAAUAGAAUUUAAUUUUUAAGUUAAAAAGCUUAAAUAUUUAUAAAAGACGAGAAGACCCUAUAGAUCUUUAUAUAUUUAUUUUUAAUUUUAAUAAUGAUUAGUUAAUUUAUUAAAAAUUUUUAUAUUUUAUUGGGGUAAUAAAAAGAUUUAAUUAAUUCUUUUUUAUUAAACAUAAAUUAAUGAUUAUAUGAUCCAUUUUUAUUGAUUGUAAGAUUAAGUUACCUUAGGGAUAACAGCGUAAUUUUUUUAGAGAGUUCUUAUCGAUAAGAAAGUUUGCGACCUCGAUGUUGGAUUAAAAAUUAUUUUAGGCGUAGAAGUUUGAAAUUUUGGUCUGUUCGACCAUUGAAUUUUUACAUGAUCUGAGUUCAGACCGGUGUAAGCCAGGUCGGUUUCUAUCUUUAUUAGAAUAAAAUAUUUUAGUACGAAAGGACCAAAUAUUAAUUAUAUAGAUAAUUUUAAUUUUUGAAUUA
rnacentral:rRNA from 1 species